ensembl:lncRNA
GACAAUGUUGUUGCGUCUGUCUUUCUUAUCCUCCCUCGCUGGUGUCUGGUCUUCUUUUCUGUGCCUCUUUGCUGACAAUAAUAACAUAUAGUAUAUAGUACUAUGCAAAAGUCAUCUAUCAUUUCUUUAUAUUUUGCUAUUAAAAUUGCUUGAAUGCUCUUAGUCAGCUUUCUUUAAGUUCUUUAAGUAGUCUUCAGGAAUAUUUCUCCAGGAUUUUUGAAGGACAUUCAAAGAUUUUCUUUGCCUUUUGCUUUUUUCUCUCUCAAGAUUAUCCCACAUUGCUUUAGUAAUGUUAAACUUCGGACUCUGGGACGACCAAUCCUUGACUGAUUGUGUUUAAUUGUGUGUUUUUUGUAUGCAGGUAUGCUUUUACUUCACUGGCAGUGUCUUGGGGAUCAUUAUCAGGCUAAAAAAUAAAGGUGUUGCCAAUCAGUUCCUUUCUAAACUGGAUUGCAUGGUGGAUCAAAAUCUGAUGGCACUUUUCUGCAUUCAAUCAAACAUCUACAAUUUGGAUUAAUAAAACUUGUUGCUAAUGAGUUUCAGUCCAGUUCUUGUGUAAUUCGGCAUACAUCAGCCAUUUCUCCCUAUUUUCCUUCCUUAAGAAUGGCUUCUUGACACCCACCCUUCCACUGAAACCAUUUCUAAUGAGGCUUCAGUGAAAAGUAGGCGAAUGAACUGAAGCCAGAUACAGCUCUCAGGCCCUGUGUCAGGCUCGUUUUUUGUUUUUUUUUGUCCUUUUUCUUAAAGACAUAACUUUAAGAUAUUUGCCAUCCGCUGUUGAUAGUUUUUAGGCCUGUCACUUUUAUCCUCCACAUGUCCAGUUCCAUCAAUGUUUUUAAAGGACACUGCAGACCAUACUGAGAUAUGCCAGGUUUUUGGCUAAUGUGUCCAUUUUCUUUUUUUACUCUUUCCUUUUAUCCUUUUUUUGUUGAUACUGUUAACAAAAUGGAAUCAAAAUUUGAGUUUUUGCUACAGGCUGCUAUUAACAAUGUACCUUGAGAUACAAUUUAAAAUGCUUUGCUAAGUUGUCAGUUAUAGGAAGACAACACUCAUUUACUCCUUCAGUUUUUAAUGCUUGAAUGACUCGUAGGUCAGUCCUAAAUAGCUUAACAAACUAAAUGCAUUCCUUUGACAUGCCUGGCCAAGUCUGGUUCCUUGGAAGCCAAAUAUGAAGAAAUGAGAGGAAGCUCAAGACUUUUGCACAUUAUUUUAUUUACUUUGAUCUCUUCUU